GAACUCUUUUAGACUCUACUGUUUAUACUGGGUUACGCUCCAGUUAAGGUUAAUGAUAAUAUUAUAAUCAUACCGCUAUCAUAAAGUGAGACUGUCACCUGCUGCUGCUGAUCGCUCAGAGUCCAACAGCGCAGCAGAAGCUAUUUGACAUUGUUUAUGUAGCUAGCAUAGUUUACUGAUGCAGCUGCAGCUUCGGCUAACUGUCCUAAUGGCUGACUAGCUGAUGUUAUUUUGUCAGCCUGGCGUUGGCCCUCACUGCUGUGGGUAACCUAGGUCCCUAUGUAUCAUUAUAAAAUAUUAAGGUGGCUUCCCUUGAUACAGAUGCAGCUGUAUGAUAAGGCCUAUUAUUCACCACCUGUAGCAUGUUGCUAAUAUGAACACUUGUGUAUUAACCCCUUAACACACAGUUUCUAUUCAGACUGCAGACGAGAUAGUGUAUGUAUUCCGCUAAUGCCUGUUUGUGCAUAUUCGAUACGUACCUAGGAACCUUUUUUAUGCACUGGUUUCUCAUAGGACCGGGCGGAGUUGUAACUACAUCCGGUUCAUGAAAGCAAACACUGUGGUUAGCAACAUGUGCGUUUUGAGGCUUCAAAUUUGGAGAAAUUGCCCAAUAUGAGAACAAAAUGAUGAACAUAUGGAUGCUCUAUGGGAAGCGAUUGGCUGGACUUGAAACCAGGGUUCCACCAGUCGAAAGUGAUAACAGCUGUCUCAGUGGGAAAAGUGAUGAAGACUACAUUCCUACACCAGAUGAGGUGUUUGUGGGAGAAACAGGAUGUUUGGAGACAAGAAGCAACAUAAAAGAGCCGACUGUGAAAACUGGAUCACUGAAGUCUGUUUUUUACACGAACAUCUGAGAAUUUGUAGCACUGAUUUAUUCAGAGAGAAGAUUUAGGCAACAAAUACUUCAUCUGGAAUAAAAUGUUGAAAAAGAUGUUUAAUGAAUCAAAGCGUCAGAUUUUAAGCUGAUUAUAAGAAUGACAUCACAUCUUUGGAUUUCAGCAGUGAGGUGCUUUUAUCUACGGACUGAAGAAAUGAUUGCAGCUGGGACUCCUUCAGUCUUUGAGAAGAAACUAUGACCUGGAAGAGAGAAACCUCUCUGGAUCACUUUUAGAUGGACUGUUUGGCUUUGGAAGACAGAAACUGGAUGGAACUCUCUGAUUGAUGUUUACAGAUAUUGAUCAUAAAUAUAAAGGCUUUCUCUUACAAAUAAGCUUUAAUAUCAACUAAAUGUUUCUGACAAACAUGUUUAGAAAGAAAAAUCCUUUCUGCCUGGAUUCUGUUCACUGGCAGCGUUUGUCACAGUCCAGGAAGUUCACAUGCAUGUUUCACUUAGAGGUCCUGAGUCCCACCUGCUGCUACUUCAGAUACUAAAACACUUUGGUUCAAGUUCAGAUAGUGGUUUAGGUUCCUCAAUCUUUCCUGAACCUGAACCAGGAGCUGGAAGGAUCCAGACUCUGACCUGUAUCCACAGCUCUGACCUCUGACCUGUAGCUACAGCUCUGACCUCUGACCUGUAUCCACAGCUCUGACCUCUGACCUGUAGCUACAGCUCUGACCUCUGACCUGUAUC